rnacentral:rRNA from 1 species
UACGUAGGUGGCAAGCGUUGUCCGGAUUUACUGGGCGUAAAGAGCGCGCAGGCGGUUGUUUAAGUCGAAUGUGAAAGCCCCCGGCUCAACUGGGGAGGGUCAUUCGAUACUGCCGUGCUUGAGGACUGGAGAGGAGACUGGAAUUUACGGUGUAGCGGUGAAAUGCGUAGAUAUCGUAAGGAAGACCAGUGGCGAAGGCGGGUCUCUGGACAGUUCCUGACGCUGAGGCACGAAGGUCAGGGGAGCAAACGGG